AUUGAACGCUGGCGGCAUGCUUUACACAUGCAAGUCGAACGGUAACAGGUUAAGCUGACGAGUGGCGAACGGGUGAGUAAUGCAUCGGAACGUGCCCGAUCGUGGGGGAUAACUGCUCGAAAGAGCAGCUAAUACCGCAUACGAUCUAUGGAUGAAAGCGGGGGACCGUAAGGCCUCGCGCGAUUGGAGCGGCCGAUGUCAGAUUAGGUAGUUGGUGGGGUAAAGGCUCACCAAGCCAACGAUCUGUAGCUGGUCUGAGAGGACGACCAGCCACACUGGGACUGAGACACGGCCCAGACUCCUACGGGAGGCAGCAGUGGGGAAUUUUGGACAAUGGGGGCAACCCUGAUCCAGCAAUGCCGCGUGCAGGAAGAAGGCCUUCGGGUUGUAAACUGCUUUUGUACGGAACGAAACGGUCUGGGUUAAUACCCUGGGCUAAUGACGGUACCGUAAGAAUAAGCACCGGCUAACUACGUGCCAGCCGCCGCGGUAA
rnacentral:rRNA from 1 species